UUCUUCUUCUCUAUUUAUCUUCCUUCUCCAAUCGACAGCUUCUCAAUAUUUGUGAAGAAACCGGAAAAAGAUAAAAUAAAAGGAGCGAGAAGAAAAUCUUCAUAUACCAAAAAGUAUACCUUUCUUACCGACAGUGUUUAUGUUUUGAUAUGAUGCACCAACUAUGUUCUCUUGCGACUACAUAUCUCAAAUAGAUACAAAAAUAUUUUGAAUUUAGCCCUUGCUCUUGCUUCUGG
rnacentral:lncRNA from 1 species